rnacentral:rRNA from 1 species
UACGGAGGGGGCUAGCGUUGUUCGGAAUUACUGGGCGUAAAGCGCACGUAGGCGGCUUUGCAAGUUAGAGGUGAAAGCCCGGGGCUCAACUCCGGAAUUGCCUUUAAAACUGCAUCGCUAGAAUUGUGGAGAGGUAAGUGGAAUUCCUGGUGUAGCGGUGAAAUGCGCAGAUAUCAGGAAGAACACCCGUGGCUAAGGCGGCUCUCUAGUACGGUACUGACGCUGAGACGCGAAAGCGUGGGGAGCGAACAGG